rnacentral:tRNA from 1 species
CUUUUCAUAGCAUAAUAGUGCUUUUAAAUUUAGAGUUUGAAAUAUAAGUUUUAACUUUGUUAAGAAUAAAUUUUUAAAUU